AACGAACGCUGGCGGCAGGCUUAACACAUGCAAGUUGAACGCGUGUAGCAAUACACGAGUAGCGCACGGGUGCGUAACGCGUGGGAACCUUCCUCGUAGUUCGGCAUAACUCAGGGAAACUUGAGCUAAAACCGAAUGCCUCCCCCGGGAUAAAGAUUUAUCGCGACGAGAUGGGCCGGCGCCAGAUUAGGUCGUUGGUAGGGUAACGGCCUACCAAGCCGACGAUCUGUAGCGGGUCUGAGAGGAUGAUCAGCAACACUGGGACUGAGACACGGCCCAGACUCUUACGGGAGGCAGCAGUGGGGAAUAUUGGACAAUGGGGGCAACCCUGAUCCAGCCAUGCCGCGUGAGUGAAGAAGGCCUUCGGGUUGUAAAGCUCUUUCGACGGGGACGAUGAUGACGGUACCCGUAUAAGAAGCCCCGGCUAACUUCGUGCCAGCAGCCGCCGUAA
rnacentral:rRNA from 1 species